rnacentral:rRNA from 1 species
ACGCUGGCGGCGUGCCUAAUACAUGCAAGUAGAACGCUGAAGGAGGAGCUUGCUUCUCUGGAUGAGUUGCGAACGGGUGAGUAACGCGUAGGUAACCUGCCUGGUAGCGGGGGAUAACUAUUGGAAACGAUAGCUAAUACCGCAUAAUAGUAGAUGUUGCAUGACAUUUGCUUAAAAGGUGCAAUUGCAUCACUACCAGAUGGACCUGCGUUGUAUUAGCUAGUUGGUGGGGUAACGGCUCACCAAGGCGACGAUACAUAGCCGACCUGAGAGGGUGAUCGGCCACACUGGGACUGAGACACGGCCCAGACUCCUACGGGAGGCAGCAGUAGGGAAUCUUCGGCAAUGGACGGAAGUCUGACCGAGCAACGCCGCGUGAGUGAAGAAGGUUUUCGGAUCGUAAAGCUCUGUUGUAAGAGAAGAACGAGUGUGAGAGUGGGAAGUUCACACUGUGACGGUAUCUUACCAGAAAGGGACGGCUAACUACGUGCCAGCAGCCGCGGUAAUACGUAGGUCCUGAGCGUUGUCCGGAUUUAUUGGGCAUAAAGCGAGCGCAGGCGGUUAGAUAAGUCUGAAGUUAAAGGCUGUGGCUUAACCAUAGUACGCUUUGGAAACUGUUUAACUUGAGUGCAAGAGGGGAGAGUGGAAUUCCAUGUGUAGCGGUGAAAUGCGUAGAUAUAUGGAGGAACACCGGUGGCGAAAGCGGCUCUCUGGCUUGUAACUGACGCUGAGGCUCGAAAGCGUGGGGAGCAACAGGAUUAGAUACCCUGGUAGUCCACGCCGUAAACGAUGAGUGCUAGGUGUUAGACCCUUUCCGGGGUUUAGUGCCGCAGCUAACGCAUUAAGCACUCCGCCUGGGGAGUACGACCGCAAGGUUGAAACUCAAAGGAAUUGACGGGGGCCCGCACAAGCGG